rnacentral:rRNA from 1 species
UCGUUUGAUGAAUUCAUAGUCAAACGAGGCGAACCGGGGAAACUGAAACAUCUCAGUACCCCGAGGAAAAGAAAUCAACCGAGAUUCCCCCAGUAGCGGCGAGCGAACAGGGAGCAGCCCAGAGUCAACAUCAAUAUUUACCGCAGGAGAAAGAUCUGGAAAGGCCGGCAAUAAAGGGUGAUAGCCCCGUAUCUGAAGCGGUAAGUGUUGUGAACUCGAAGAGUAAGGCGGGACACGUGUUAUCCUGUCUGAAUAUGGGGGGACCAUCCUCCAAGGCUAAAUACUCCUGACUGACCGAUAGUGAACCAGUACCGUGAGGGAAAGGCGAAAAGAACCCCGGCGAGGGGAGUGAAAUAGAACCUGAAACCGUGUACGUACAAGCAGUAGGAGCACCCGAAAAGGUGUGACUGCGUACCUUUUGUAUAAUGGGUCAGCGACUUAUAUUCUGUAGCAAGGUUAACCGCAUAGGGGAGCCGUAGGGAAACCGAGUCUUAACUGGGCGUUAAGUUGCAGGGUAUAGACCCGAAACCC